GUGCCAGCCGCCGCGGUAAUACGGAGGGUGCGAGCGUUAAUCGGAAUUACUGGGCGUAAAGGGCGCGUAGGCGGUCGCGCAAGUCGGGUGUGAAAGCCCCGGGCUCAACCUGGGAAUUGCAUUCGAUACUGCGUAACUAGAGUCUGGUAGAGGGAAGCGGAAUUCCGCAUGUAGCGGUGAAAUGCGUAGAUAUGCGGAGGAACACCAGUGGCGAAGGCGGCUUCCUGGACCAAGACUGACGCUGAGGCGCGAAAGCGUGGGGAGCAAACAGGAUUAGAUACCCUGGUAGUCCACGCCCUAAACGAUGAGGACUAGACGUUGGGGGGAUAAAACCCUUUAGUGUCGCAGCUAACGCGUGAAGUCCUCCGCCUGGGGAGUACGGCCGCAAGGUUGAAACUCAAAUGAAUUGACGG
rnacentral:rRNA from 1 species